AUGAAAUUUUUCAAAUUUUGAAUCUGAACACCACCAAACUAAUCUUUAUGUAUGCAUCUUUAUAAAUGACAAAUUCCAUAAAUGAGACUCUUACAUAUUUUGGGUGGGAGGCCACUGGCAUGUAUUUUUAAAUGUUCAUAUUACUUAGAAUCUCUAAUAGGAAGUUUUUAUUUGACAUAGCUGAAUCAGAUAUCUAGUAUUUUCCUUUCAGCAAGACCUUUUAGGUUUUUACUCCUAAAAUAAGUUCCAUUCCAUCUGCAAAUUGCUGCAGUAUUAUAGCAAUCAGAAGCUAUACAAGGAAGUUAAAUAGGCUUGUUGAUUCCCACUUAUCUUGAGAACAGUGAAUACCACCUUUCUCCCUUUUAAAAAAUGACACAUGUUUAAAUACUUAGAAAAUAAAGUCAAAACUUAUUGAAGUGCCAGUACUAAAAGGGAAGCAGNNNNNNNNNNNNNNNNNNNNGAACUGUAAGACAGUAAUAAAUGUGUGCCAUUUCAAGUGACUAUGGUUGUGGCAAUCUGUUACAAUAGCUACCAGAAACAAAUAUAGGUUUGUAUAAAAACUUUUAUUAGUAAGUUAACUGAAUAUUGGAAUUUUAAAAUGUAUCAUCUUUGAAUUUUUAAUACCAAAUGUGCUUUGGAUUAAUUUUGUAGUUUGAAGAUAAGCUCUCUUUGAUGACUUAAAGUCUCAGAUUCUUUUAUCCUAAAUAAUUUUUAAACCUAAAAACUCAAUAAAUAUUGGAAGGUAGCAUUAUAACUAAGUUCUGAUACUGGUUUUAAGUAGAUUCCAUGUGAAAUUUAAUGUAGGAGACUAAAUCUAACAUCAUUUUCCUUAGUCACACAAAUUCCUACAUCUCCAAGAUAGUUAGGUAAAAUUGGUGUAAUAAAAGAAUUGGGUGGGACUGCUGGUAAAUUUUAAACUACCAUACAGCUUAAGAGUCUGAUCUCUGGAAUGCAAUAUCUGUUUCCUUUCUGUGUAAGUAUUGAUAACAUUACUCAUUGACCAUAGGGUACACUCUGAAAUGUUUUCAGUGGAAAUUUGUUUGUUUCAUUAAUGCUGUUUCACCAGUUAG
rnacentral:lncRNA from 1 species